UACGAAGGGGACUAGCGUUGUUCGGAAUCACUGGGCGUAAAGCGCACGUAGGCGGAUUCGUAAGUCAGGGGUGAAAUCCCGGGGCUCAACCUCGAAACUGCAUUCGAUACUGCGGGGCUAGAGUGCUGGAGGGGAGACUGGAAUUUACGGUGUAGCAGUGAAAUGCGUAGAUAUCGUAAGGAAGACCAGUGGCGAAGGCGAGUCUCUGGACAGCAACUGACGCUGAGGCACGAAGGCCAGGGGAGCAAACGGG
rnacentral:rRNA from 1 species